rnacentral:rRNA from 1 species
AAGAAACUAACAAGGAUUCCCCUAGUAACUGCGAGUGAAGCGGGAAAAGCUCAAAUUUAAAAUCUGGUAGUCUCUGGCUGCCCGAGUUGUAAUCUGGAGAAGUGUUUUCUGUGCUGGGCCGUGUACAAGUCUCUUGGAAUAGAGCGUCAUAGAGGGUGAGAAUCCCGUCUUUGACACGGACAUCCAGUGCUCUGUGAUGCACUCUCAAAGAGUCGAGUUGUUUGGGAAUGCAGCUCAAAAUGGGUGGUAAAUUCCAUCUAAAGCUAAAUAUUGGCAAGAGACCGAUAGCGAACAAGUACCGUGAGGGAAAGAUGAAAAGAACUUUGGAAAGAGAGUUAAACAGUACGUGAAAUUGUUGAAAGGGAAACGCUUGAAGUCAGUCGCGUCUAGCAAGGAUCAGCCCUUCUCGGAGGGUGUAUUUCUUGCUUGACGGGUCAACAUCAAUUUUGACUACUGGAAAAAGGCCAGGGGAAGGUGGCACCUUCGGGUGUGUUAUAGCCUUUGGUCAUAUACAGUAGUUGGGAUUGAGGAAUUCAGCAUGCCUUCAUGGCUGGGGUUCGCCCACAUUCAUGCUUAGGAUGUUGGCAUAAUGGCUUUAAGCGACCCGUCUUGAAACACGGACCAAGGAGUCUAACAUACCUGCGAGUGUUUGGGUGUAAAAACCCGAGCGCAUAAUGAAAGUGAAAGUUGAGACCCUUUUAAGGGGCAUCGACGCCCGGACCAGACCUUYUGUGACGGAUCUGCGGUAGAGCAUGUAUGUUGGGACCCGAAAGAUGGUGAACUAUGCCUGAAUAGGGUGAAGCCAGAGGAA